UCUCCAAUCUCUCUUUCUCUCUCCAAUCUCUCUUUCUCUCUCUACACCUUAUUACACAUUUUGUUUCAACUUAUUCAUUACACUUUCUGUUAACAGCUAUAAAUGCACACACCUAUUUUUGCUUUAUCUUUACUGUUUCUCUCUCUCUUUCUGUGUUUCCUCCAUUACAAACCAAGCUUCCUUUCCACCUUUGCUUUUGGUCCCACAAUCAUCUUCCUCAACCACACUUCCACUAUCCACCAAACCCUUUCCCCUCUCUCUCCUUUUUUCUUCUUCUCCAUAAUCCACCCAUUUUCUCUCUCUGUACUUUUCCAUUCCCCAUUAAAAAUCACAUUUUUAUCACUUCUUUUUCAUCUUAUCCAUAUUUCUCAUUGACCCAUUUUCACUCAUAA